UACGGGGGGAGCAAGCGUUGUUCGGAUUUACUGGGCGUAAAGGGCGCGUAGGCGGCGCGACAAGUCACUUGUGAAAUCUCCGGGCUUAACCCGGAGCGGCCAAGUGAUACUGUAGUGCUAGAGUGCGGAAGGGGCUACUGGAAUUCUCGGUGUAGCGGUGAAAUGCGUAGAUAUCGAGAGGAACACCUGCGGCGAAGGCGGGUAGCUGGGCCGACACUGACGCUGAUGCGCGAAAGCCAGGGGAGCGAACGGG
rnacentral:rRNA from 1 species